ACCGGCAAGUAGUGAUAACCAGACAUUGAGUUACCGGCCCGGAGAGAUAUAUUUUGAAAGCAGAGGAAUAACCUGGCGGUGGUAUUCUAUAAACCGGCCAACCUACCCAAAACCCCCAAAAAAAGAGGAUCGUCGUCGGUAAUCGUAACAGGAAUCGGUUCUGGUAACGGUGGGCGAACUAAAGUUUCAAACGACCUGCCAACUAGCAAUGUUCCUGUUGUUGAUUGGCUACACUUACAUGAUUUGUCGCUGGCUGAUUCGCAAUUUAUGAAAUCACACUCCAUAGAUAUCCUCAUUGGUGUAGAUAAAAUGGACAAAUUUAUCAUACCGGAAGUUCGGAAGGGCCCUCCAGGUUUGCCUAUAGUGCAAAACACAGUUUUUGGCGGGACACUAUUCGGUCAGGUGGAUGAAUCUCUACACGCUCUUCGGAAUACGCUAACCAUCCACAGCGAUAUUCAGUUAACGGAUACGCUAUGCAAAUGGUGGGAGUUAGAAGAAGCUCCUGGAAAAAGUUCCUAACGACGGAAGAGAAAUAUUGCGAAGAUCACUUCGACUCCAACCACCAUCGUGCCUCAGAUGGCAGUUUUAUUGUAAAACUCCCGCUAAAAUCAAACAUACCGUUAUGUGAAUCACGUAUGUUACAACAAAAUUAAGGGUAGUGUUAAAUGCAUCCGCGAAAACAGCAACAGGCUACUCCUUAAUCAACGCCUGAUGGUUGGGCCUCAGUUACAACCUACACUGUUCUCAAUCCUAAUAAGGUUCAGAAUGCAUCGGUACCGCUCUUAAUGCAGAUGUGGCGAAAAUAUAUAGACAAGUAUACGUUUUAAAGGCGCGCACUGAUCUCCAAUGUCAUGUGUGGCGCUCCGACCCACAACUUCCUAUUAAAUAUUAUCGCAUAUUGCGGGUAACGUACGGUGUAUCUACAGCAUCACAUCUAGCUGCAAAGCCCCUUCAACAGUCCGCUUAGGAAGCUGUAGGACGUUAUGACAAGGCUGCAUCUGUUAUCCUUUGAGAUUUUUAUAUGGAUGAUUUGCUCACAGGCUCAUUUAACAUAGAAGAACUUCAACGCGACGUAUUGAGUUAAGGCAGUGGGCUUCCAGAACUAACAGCGUCCAUAUCUAACGCGUCAAAGGAAAUGUCUCACUAUAUCGCCGAAGACAAGGAAGUGCCUGCCCUGAGUCUAAUUUGGCACACAGAAAGAGACUAUUUAAUGUUUGCAGUAAAUCUAAACAAGCCAGCACCAUAUCUUUCCAAAAGAGCAUACUUAUCCGAUUCAAGUGUUCUAUUCGAUCCGCUAGGACUUCUAUCUCCUUGCACAAUAAAGUAAAAAAUUUGGUUUCAGGAUUUUUGGCGUUCUAACGUCGAUUGGGAUGAUCCAGUUCCGAUGCCUAUAGCGGGUGAAUGGUGUCAUUAUCGAGAACGGUUAAAGUUGUUUUCAGACUAAAAGCUUAAAAGGUAGACAGGUAUUUGUGCGAAGGGUGCAUGCACGCAGUUGCAUCUAUUUGCAGACUCAUCAGAGUGGGCAUUCGUCGCUGUUAUUUAUGCUCGCACUAUACAGCCAUAUGGAGAAAUAAUUGUCGCUUUGGUUAGUUCUAAGACCAAGGUAGCACCGCUGAAAGUUACUACACUUCCUCAUAUUCAAUGCUUUGCGCUGCAAACCUCGCAGCUAAGCUAGCGAAAACGAUUAUGGACAACUUGCCUAACCAAACUUAUCCGAUGUUCGCGUCGCAGACACUCAAGAAAUUUUAAGGGCUGAAUCGUGGAAUCACAUACGUUCCGAAAUUAAUCCCGCUGACUGCGCUUCCAGAGGUUUAACUCCGCUUGAACUGAUGGAGCAUCGGUUAAAGUGGAAUGGUCCGGAAUUCCUUAGCAGUUCAGAGGAAUUUUGGAGGCUUAAGUCUCCAUCGACGCACACAAAAAACUUGGAACUUCAAGCAAGUAAACUAUCCGCCCACGUUGUGAGCUCGAAAGAACACUGGUCAGUAUUCACCAACCUCUCAUCAUAAUAAAGGCUGAAACGAAUUAUCGCUUAUGUCCUACGGCUUAUCAGCAACUUCAGAGCUGCUAUAAUACAUAGUUAUGUAAAGGCAACCAGGCCCCUUUUGUGGAAUGAGAUUACUAACGCUGAAGACGCUCUGAUAAGGUAUACGCAAAAUUACUAUUUUUCUAAUGAAAUUUCCCAUUGCAGAGAUAAA